rnacentral:lncRNA from 1 species
UAACAAUAAAAAGAAAUUAAUAAAUUAAAAUCUUAUAAACUAAUCAAAUAAAAAUUUAACUAAUCAAUUAAUUACUAAUUUAGAUAAUUAAAUUAAUCAAGAAAAGAAAUGUCACUAAAAAAAAGAAGUAACAUAAAAAGAGUGUAUGCAUUGACAUGAGGUGUAAGUAUAAAAAAGAAAACCCAAAAUCACCAUUACCCCUAAUUGUUCAUAAAAAGAAACAAAAAUAAAAUAAAAAUAAUAAAAAUAGAAA